UGGAGGCAGCAGUAAGGAAUCUUCCGCAAUGGACGAAAGUCUGACGGAGCAACGCCGCGUGAGUGAUGAAGGUUUUCGGAUCGUAAAGCUCUGUUGCCAGGGAAGAACGGCUUGGGGAGUAACUGCUCUGAGCAUGACGGUACCUGAGAAGAAAGCCCCGGCUAACUACGUGCCAGCAGCCGCGGUAAUAGGUAGGGGGCAAGCGUUGUCCGGAAUUAUUGGGCGUAAAGCGCGCGCAGGCGGUUUUUUAAGUCUGGUGUAUAAGCCCAGGGCUCAACCCUGGUUCGCACCGGAAACUGGAAGACUUGAGUGCAGGAGAGGAAAGCGGAAUUCCACGUGUAGCGGUGAAAUGCGUAGAGAUGUGGAGGAACACCAGUGGCGAAGGCGGCUUUCUGGACUGUAACUGACGCUGAGGCGCGAAAGCGUGGGGAGCAAACAGGCUUAGAUACCCGGGUAGUCCG
rnacentral:rRNA from 1 species